rnacentral:lncRNA from 10 species
CUUAAAGUGGCCACCACAUUUCUUUUGUUCCUGACCUUCUCCCAUUGGGAAGAUGAGCAAGAGCUAGAGCUAGAAGGGCAAUUGAAGUGUGAACAUACCAGGAAAGCUCAGGGAAAGUGGUUCCCGAAACCAUCUUUCCCAUAGCUUGUCUCUUGGGAUGGGCUUUUCCACAGUGACGUGAUUCAGUGUGAUUGCAUGCUUAUGUGUUUACAACCAGCAGGCACAGGGCUGCCACUGACUACACGAUGAUGGGAGGAUGGACGCCGCCUUCAGGAGCUGGAGGAGCAGAAGACGUGAACAAAGAGAAACAUAAUUGAGGUGGAAGGAUCCAGAAGAAAGGAACCAGUGAUGAUGAGGACAGAGGGCUCUCCACGGGAAGGUGGGAGAGAAUUUAGUUCUCUGUGCCGUGAAGAUGGGAUUGGAGCCAUACAUUGGAGAUGAAGAGAGUCCUUCCAUCCAUCUGCUGGACCUGCUGGGCCUCAGGGCUUUCUCUGAAGUGGUAGGGGGAAGAUGUCACAGAGGAAAUGUAAAGAAAAGUCUACCUCGGCAGUCUACAGCGUGGUGGAUAAAAAAAGAGCAGGAAGAGUCUGGCGAGGCGAUCAGCCUGAUGUAGUACCUGAGGAAGGCAAGAAAGGAUAUAAAGAAAAUAAGAAACAACACUUUCUCUGCACAUCCAAAUUGUGGCAAGGAUUUUUGCAGAUUGCCACCAGUUCACUGAGAGGAGUCAUUGAAAACAUGGCAUUGAGGACAGAGACUGCCACUUCAGAAUUUUCUACAUCCAACUGCUGAAGCCACUCGAAGAUAUUUCCCUCAGAGAACCAUAACCAGCUUUGGAGAAGAUGCUUCCACAUAGCUUGUUUCACAGCAUCUCAUCUCUCAUUAAAACCUUGUUGAGGGAGCAUUACUGUCUGAGCAAUGGACAUAGCUCUCAUACGAACCUUUUCAGCUAACACCGGAUAAGCCAGCUUUCUGACAGCCUCUUUCACAUCCUUGGUGCACCCUACAAUUUUUGGCAAAGUCUUUGCUGAUGGUGCAAUACAUGAUAA